rnacentral:rRNA from 1 species
UGCAUAUCAAUAAGCGGAGGAAAAGAAACUAACAAGGAUUCCCCUAGUAACGGCGAGUGAAGCGGGAUGAGCUCAAAUUUGUAAUCUGGUGGACUCAGUUCAUCCGAGUUGUAAUCUAUAGAAGUGUUUUCCGCGCUGGACCGUGUCUAAGUCCCUUGGAACAGGGUGUCAGAGAGGGUGAGAAUCCCGUGCUUGAUACGACCACCAGUGCUAUGUGAUACACUUUCAACGAGUCGAGUUGUUUGGGAAUGCAGCUCAAAAUGGGUGGUAAAUUCCAUCUAAAGCUAAAUAUUGGCGAGAGACCGAUAGCGAACAAGUACCGUGAGGGAAAGAUGAAAAGCACUUUGGAAAGAGAGUUAAACAGUACGUGAAAUUGUUAAAAGGGAAACGAUUGAAGUCAGUCGUGCUCUCUGGGACUCAGCCGGUUCUUCCGGUGUACUUCCCAGUGAGCGGGUCAACAUCAGUUUAGAUCGCUGGAUAAAGGUAUUAGGAAGGUGGCUCCCUCGGGAGUGUUAUAGCCUAGUAUCGCAUACAGUGGUUUAGACUGAGGAACGCAGCUCGCCUUUAUGGCCGGGGUUCGCUCACGUCCGAGCUUAGGAUGUUGACAUAAUGGCUUUAAACGACCCGUCUUGAAACACGGACCA